GAGGUAGAAAUGUGUUCUUAUGAGGAUAUGGUUGUGUUGGGCACCCUCUCACAAAGUGGGAGGGGGGGUAUUUAUAGUGGGGAGAGAAAAAUAGUCGUUGGGGUCACUUAAGUCUGCCAGUGGUCGCACAUCCGGCAGUUUCUCGGAUGUCCGGACGCCCACAAGGUGUCGGACGUCCGACAGGGUUCGGUCGUCCGAGAGAUGCAUAUAUAUCUGGAAUCACUGUGUAGUUGAACUGAGGCCGGACGUCCGGAGGAAGCUGGAAAUCCGAGUUAUUCGACUCAAACUGCUCUGGUGAGAGAUUCCGGAUUUCCGAAGGAGGUCGGACGUCCGGAGGGAGCCGGAAGUCCGAGUUAUAUGGCUCAAGUUUCUCUGGUGCAAAGUUCCGGAUUUCCGAAGUUGGUCGAACGUCCGGAGGGAGCCGGAAGUCCGAGUUAUAUGGCUCAAGUUUCUGUGGUGCAAGGUUCCGGAUUUCUGAAGGAGGUCGGACGUCCGGCCCUCGGACGU
rnacentral:lncRNA from 1 species